ACUUUGUUUUCCCUGCAUGGUAUAGGGGAGACUAGACACACAGAAUUCUGCAGUGACUCUUUCCCGCUUCGUGGAUCAGCUCACAUUAUGUAACAGCAUGGCAUAUUGUGUAACAUUUACAGAAGCUUUCUCCCACUCUUUUGUUUGAGAAGAGAAUCUCGAUUAGUUAAAACUUUGAAAAAUCUCGUGAUGUGUUAUAAAUUACAGUCAGAAUAGGACCUAGAAUUCCUAAGAGUAUGCCCCAUCCCUAACGCUAGAACUUAAUGGGACAUUUGUAGUCAAAUUACUUCCACUUACUUUAAAAAAAAAAAACACCACUAUAAAGUACAUUUCCAGGUAUUUGGGGAGAAUUAAUUAGUUUCUAUUAAUUAAUUUGUUUCCAUUAUGGCUUUAAUAACUGUGUUGUACCUCUGGUAAUUCACUGUAAUGGUGUGGACCUCAUUUGCCUAGUACAUUACAAUAGCCUAUUGUGUGAAUGGAGUUCUUCCGUGGUGUCAGUCAAUUAACUAAGGUGAUUUUUAAAGGCCUACCUACUAAGCCACAUUGUGCCAAGGCCUGGUAGUUACUCCCAAGAGUAGUCAACUAGGUCUCUCUAUUCACAACUUUUAAAUAUGUGUGGGAAGAAAGGAUCAACUGAGAACUAUCAAAAGUGACUAGAAUGCUCAAUUAAGAUUCUGUAAUAACUAACGUGAAUAGAGAGUUAUAGGGAAAGUCCUGUGUAAGCUAAUAACAAAUUCAGCAAAGGCUCAUUCUUGUAAUAUUGAUCCCAUUUAGUUGGACAACCCUUUGAUGUUUAACAUCUUUUAAAAUACCUACUUUGGGUUAUUAGCAUUUAUGUAGUGCUUAGGGGAAAAGAGAAAAGAGAGAAGAGAGA
rnacentral:lncRNA from 1 species